AACGAACGCUGGCGGCAUGCUUAACACAUGCAAGUCGAACGAAGAGGCUCCUUCGGGAGUACUUCAGUGGCGGACGGGUGAGUAACACGUAGGUGACCUGCCCCGAAGCAGGGGAUAACGGCUCGAAAGGGCCGCUAAUACCCAAAGGAUCGCGAGUCGCAUCGUGAUCAGAGUUACGGCGUUUCGGGAGGGGCCUGCGUCCCAUCAGCUAGUUGGUAGGGUAAUGGCCUACCAAGGCGACGACGGGUAGGGGGCCUGAGAGGGUGAUCCCCCACAUUGGCACUGACACACGGGCCAAACACCUACGGGAGGCUG
rnacentral:rRNA from 1 species